GACGAACGCUGGCGGCGUGCCUAAUACAUGCAAGUCGUGCGGACCUUGUUGAAAGCUUGCUUUUAAAAGGUUAGCGGCGGACGGGUGAGUAACACGUGGGCAACCUGCCUGUAAGACUGGGAUAACGCCGGGAAACCGGGGCUAAUACCAGAUCGUUUUUUCCUCCGCAUGGAGGAAAAAGGAAAGGCGGCUUCGGCUGCCACUUACAGAUGGGCCCGCGGCGCAUUAGCUAGUUGGCGGGGUAAUGGCCCACCAAGGCAACGAUGCGUAGCCGACCUGAGAGGGUGAUCGGCCACAUUGGGCCUGAGACACGGCCCAAACUCCUACGGGAGGCAGCAGUAGGGAAUCUUCCGCAAUGGACGAAAGUCUGACGGAGCAACGCCGCGUGAGUGAAGAAGGCCUUCGGGUCGUAAAACUCUGUUGCCGGGGAAGAACAAGUGCCGUUCGAACAGGGCGGCGCCUUGACGGUACCCGGCCAGAAAGCCACGGCUAACUACGUG
rnacentral:rRNA from 1 species